UACAGAGGGUGCAAGCGUUAAUCGGAAUUACUGGGCGUAAAGCGCGCGUAGGUGGUUCGUUAAGUUGGAUGUGAAAUCCCCGGGCUUAACCUGGGAAUUGCAUUGUGUACUGCACGGCUAGAGUGUGUCAGAGGGGGUAGGGAAUUCCACGUGUAGCAGUGAAAUGCGUAGAUAUGCGGAGGAACACCGAUGGCGAAGGCAAUCCCCUGGGCCUGCACUGACGCUCAUGCACGAAAGCGUGGGGAGCGAAACAAGG
rnacentral:rRNA from 1 species